UACGGAGGGGGCUAGCGUUGUUCGGAAUUACUGGGCGUAAAGCGCACGUAGGCGGCUUGGUAAGUUAGAGGUGAAAGCCUGGAGCUCAACUCCAGAAUUGCCUUUAAGACUGCCGAGCUAGCAGGUGAGAGAGGUGAGUGGAAUUCCGAGUGUAGAGGUGAAAUUCGUAGAUAUUCGGAAGAACACCAGUGGCGAAGGCGGCUCACUGGCUCAUACUGGACGCUGAGGUGCGAAAGCGUGGGUAGCAAACAGG
rnacentral:rRNA from 1 species